rnacentral:lncRNA from 1 species
AUAAGUAGUGCUUCAAUUGGGCUAGGUAAAUAGGCUAGCAAUUUUGGGUUUUGUAAAUGGACUGUAAAAAACUUUUAUUAUUUCUUUGGUUUUUGUUUUUUUGUUUAUUUUAUGGGCCGGGAAUGUAACACCCCCUACCCAUAUCUGUCGCCGGAAUAGAGUACGAGGCAUUACCGAGAAGCACGAAACACUUACAGAUAAUUUAAAUACAU